rnacentral:lncRNA from 1 species
CUGAGGUAGGUGAGCUAGCUGUGUCUAAGCUAGUUGAGCUAGGUGUGUCUGAGUUAGGUAUGUCUGAGCUAGGUGAGCUAGGUGUGUCUGAGCUAGGUGAGCUAGGUGAGCUAGGUGUGUCUGAGCUAGGUGAGCUAGCUGUGUCUAAGCUAGGUGUGUCUGAGGUAGGUGAGCUAGCUGUGUCUAAGCUAGUUGAGCUAGGUGUGUCUGAGUUAGGUAUGUCUGAGCUAGGUGAGCUAGGUGUGUCUGAGCUAGGUGAGCUAGGUGUGUCUGAGCUAGGUGAGCUAGGUGUGUCUGAGGUAGGUGAGCUAGCUGUGUCUAAGCUAGGUGAGCUAGGUGUGUCUGAGUUAGGUAUGUCUGAGCUAGGUGAGCUAGGUGUGUCUGAGCUAGGUGAGCUAGGUGUGUCUUAGCUAGGUGAGCUAGGUGUGUCUGUGUUACGUGAGCUAGGUGUGUCUGAGCUAGGUGAGCUAGGUGAGCUAGGUGUGUCUUAGCUAGGUGAGCUAGGUGUGUCUUAGCUAGGUGAGCUAGGUGUGUCUUAGCAAGGUGAGCUAGGUGUGUCUAAGCUAGGUGAGCUAGGGGUGUCUGAGUUAUGUGAGCUAGGUGUUUCAGUGCUGAGUGUUUUCUGAGCUAGUUAUGUCUGACUGUCAUUGAAAAUAAGAAUUUGUUUUUAACUGACUAGCCUAGUUAAAUAAAGGUAAAAUCAAAUAAAAAAUAAAAGUGAGCUAAGUGUGUCUGAGUUUGUUUUUUCUGAGCUGAUUGAACUAGGUGUGUCUUAGACAGGUGUGUCUUAGACAGGUGUGUCUGAGCUAUAAGAGCUAGGUGUGUCUGAGCUAGGUGAGCUAGGUGUGUCUGAUAUAUUUUUCAUUGUUCUGGGUCUUAUUAGGCUAUGUCAUUUUAGUAUAGAAUUGGUAUUUUAUUAAGCUCAUGCAAUGUAUAUAUUGCUGCUUGACUCUGUUGGGGCUAGGGGGCAGUAUUUGUACGGCCGGAUAAAAAAACGUACCCGAUUUAAACUGGUUACUACUCUUGCCCAGAAAUGAGAAUAUGCAUAUAAUUAA